CGGUUGAUCCUGCCGGAGGUCACCGCUAUUGGAAUCCGCUUAAGCCAUGCGAGUCGAGAGGGUUCGGCCCUCGGCAUACUGCUCAGUAACACGUGGACAAUCUGCCCUCAGGAGGGGGAUAAUCUCGGGAAACUGAGAAUAAUACCCCAUAGACCCCUUAUGCUGGAACGCUUUGGGGUUCAAAGCUGCGGCGCCUGAGGAUGAGUCUGCGGCUCAUCAGGUUGUAGUGAGUGUAACGGACUCACUAGCCGACAACGAGUACGGGCCUUGGAAGAGGUCGCCCGGAGAUGGACUCUGAGACACGAGUCCAGGCCCUACGGGGCGCAGCAGGCGCGAAAACUUCGCAAUGCGGGAAACCGCGACGAGGGGAUUCCAAGUGCUCAUGGUUUUCCAUGGGCUGUUUUCCUGCCUAAAAAGCAGGGAGAGUAAGGGCUGGGCAAGACGGGUGCCAGCCGCCGCGGUAAUACCCGCAGCCCGAGUGGUGAUCGUUAUUAUUGGGCCUAAAGCGUCCGUAGCCUGCUUGGUAAAUCCUUGGGUAAAUCGGGCAGCUUAACUGUCCGAAUUCCGGGGAGACUGCCAAGCUUGGAACCGGGAGAGGUCGGAGGUACUCCGGGGGUAGAGGUGAAAUUCUGUAAUCCUCGGGGGACCACCAGUGGCGAAGGCGUCCGACUUGAACGGGUUCGACGGUGAGGGACGAAGCCCUGGGGCACAAACCGGAUUAGAUACCCGGGUAGUCCAGGGUGUAAACGCUGCGGGCUUGGUGUU
rnacentral:rRNA from 1 species